GUCACUGACAUGACUGAAUGGUAUGAAAUCUGUGUGUCGUUCUUAUCAGAUGCCUGCUUUGUUAGAGGGAUUUUGCGGUGUAACCUGGUCAACGAGGGAGACCACAAGCACCCCUGAAGCGUGUGUGGGUCGAGGGGUCUGUACCCCGAUAACAUCGUCUCGCAUGGACUGACCAAUUGAGUAGUAAGGCUCACACAAAUAAAUCUCAGCGCUGGUGUCAACUUUACCAGCCAAGAACUAAUUUAGUGUUCAUGCCCUUUAUGAUUUGAUCAGUUUUAUGUCACUGAUCAAAAGUAUUCGUUUUGUUUUCAAUAUAACACGAUUGGUUUUAUCUAUAGCGAUAAACACGAACUACCUA